rnacentral:rRNA from 1 species
AGCGUACACGGUGGAUGCCCUGGCAGUCAGAGGCGAUGAAGGACGUGCUAAUCUGCGAAAAGCGUCGGUAAGGUGAUAUGAACCGUUAUAACCGGCGAUGUCCGAAUGGGGAAACCCAGUGCAAUUCGUUGCACUAUCGUUAACUGAAUACAUAGGUUAACGAGGCGAACCGGGGGAACUGAAACAUCUAAGUACCCCGAGGAAAAGAAAUCAACCGAGAUUCCCCCAGUAGCGGCGAGCGAACGGGGAGCAGCCCAGAGUCUGAAUCAGCUUGUGUGUUAGUGGAACGGUCUGGAAAGUCCGACGGUACAGGGUGAUAGUCCCGUACACCAAAAUGCACAGGUUGUGAACUCGAAGAGUAGGGCGGGACACGUGGUAUCCUGUCUGAAUAUGGGGGGACCAUCCUCCAAGGCUAAAUACUCCUGACUGACCGAUAGUGAACCAGUACCGUGAGGGAAAGGCGAAAAGAACCCCGGCGAGGGGAGUGAAAAAGAACCUGAAACCGUGUACGUACAAGCAGUGGGAGCACCUUCGGGUGUGACUGCGUACCUUUUGUAUAAUGGGUCAGCGACUUAUAUUCUGUAGCAAGGUUAACCGUAUAGGGGAGCCGCAGGGAAACCGAGUCUUAACUGGGCGUUAAGUUGCAGGGUAUAGACCCGAAACCCGGUGAUCUAGCCAUGGGCAGGUUGAAGGUUGGGUAACACUAACUGGAGGACCGAACCGACUAAUGUUGAAAAAUUAGCGGAUGACUUGUGGCUGGGGGUGAAAGGCCAAUCAAACCGGGAGAUAGCUGGUUCUCCCCGAAAGCUAUUUAGGUAGCGCCUCGUGAAUUCAUCUUCGGGGGUAGAGCACUGUUUCGGCUAGGGGGUCAUCCCGACUUACCAACCCGAUGCAAACUACGAAUACCGAAGAAUGUUAUCACGGGAGACACACGGCGGGUGCUAACGUCCGUCGUGAAGAGGGAAACAACCCAGACCGCCAGCUAAGGUCCCAAAGUCAUGGUUAAGUGGGAAACGAUGUGGGAAGGCACAGACAGCCAGGAUGUUGGCUUAGAAGCAGCCAUCAUUUAAAGAAAGCGUAAUAGCUCACUGGUCGAGUCGGCCUGCGCGGAAGAUGUAACGGGGCUAAACCAUGCACCGAAGCUGCGGCAGCGACACUAUGUGUUGUUGGGUAGGGGAGCGUUCUGUAAGCCUGCGAAGGUGUGCUGUGAGGGUUGCUGGAGGUAUCAGAAGUGCGAAUGCUGACAUAAGUAACGAUAAAGCGGGUGAAAAGCCCGCUCGCCGGAAGACCAAGGGUUCCUGUCCAACGUUAAUCGGGGCAGGGUGAGUCGACCCCUAAGGCGAGGCCGAAAGGCGUAGUCGAUGGGAAACAGGUUAAUAUUCCUGUACUUGGUGUUACUGCGAAGGGGGGACGGAGAAGGCUAUGUUAGCCGGGCGACGGUUGUCCCGGUUUAAGCAUGUAGGCUGGUUGUCCAGGCAAAUCCGGAUAAUCAAGGCUGAGGUGUGAUGACGAGGCACUACGGUGCUGAAGUAACAAAUGCCCUGCUUCCAGGAAAAGCCUCUAAGCAUCAGGUAACAUCAAAUCGUACCCCAAACCGACACAGGUGGUCAGGUAGAGAAUACCAAGGCGCUUGAGAGAACUCGGGUGAAGGAACUAGGCAAAAUGGUGCCGUAACUUCGGGAGAAGGCACGCUGGUGUGUAGGUGAAGUCCCUGCGGAUGGAGCUGAGACCAGUCGAAGAUACCAGCUGGCUGCAACUGUUUAUUAAAAACACAGCACUGUGCAAACACGAAAGUGGACGUAUACGGUGUGACGCCUGCCCGGUGCCGGAAGGUUAAUUGAUGGGGUUAUCCGUAAGGAGAAGCUCUUGAUCGAAGCCCCGGUAAACGGCGGCCGUAACUAUAACGGUCCUAAGGUAGCGAAAUUCCUUGUCGGGUAAGUUCCGACCUGCACGAAUGGCGUAAUGAUGGCCAGGCUGUCUCCACCCGAGACUCAGUGAAAUUGAACUCGCUGUGAAGAUGCAGUGUACCCGCGGCAAGACGGAAAGACCCCGUGAACCUUUACUAUAGCUUGACACUGAACAUUGAGCCUUGAUGUGUAGGAUAGGUGGGAGGCUUUGAAGCGUGGACGCCAGUCUGCGUGGAGCCAACCUUGAAAUACCACCCUUUAAUGUUUGAUGUUCUAACGUUGGCCCCUUAUCGGGGUUGCGGACAGUGUCUGGUGGGUAGUUUGACUGGGGCGGUCUCCUCCCAAAGCGUAACGGAGGAGCACGAAGGUUAGCUAAUCCUGGUCGGACAUCAGGAGGUUAGUGCAAUGGCAUAAGCUAGCUUGACUGCGAGCGUGACGGCGCGAGCAGGUGCGAAAGCAGGUCAUAGUGAUCCGGUGGUUCUGAAUGGAAGGGCCAUCGCUCAACGGAUAAAAGGUACUCCGGGGAUAACAGGCUGAUACCGCCCAAGAGUUCAUAUCGACGGCGGUGUUUGGCACCUCGAUGUCGGCUCAUCACAUCCUGGGGCUGAAGUAGGUCCCAAGGGUAUGGCUGUUCGCCAUUUAAAGUGGUACGCGAGCUGGGUUUAGAACGUCGUGAGACAGUUCGGUCCCUAUCUGCCGUGGGCGCUGGAGAAUUGAGGGGGGCUGCUCCUAGUACGAGAGGACCGGAGUGGACGCAUCACUGGUGUUCGGGUUGUCAUGCCAAUGGCACUGCCCGGUAGCUAAAUGCGGAAGAGAUAAGUGCUGAAAGCAUCUAAGCACGAAACUUGCCCCGAGAUGAGUUCU